rnacentral:rRNA from 1 species
GUMSCGGGGCAAGCGUUGUCCGGAUUUAUUGGGCGUAAAGAGCGUGUAGGCGGCUAGGUAGGUCCGUUGUGAAAACUCGAGGCUCAACCUCGAGACGCCGAUGGAAACCAUCUGGCUAGAGUCCGGAAGAGGAGAGUGGAAUUCCUGGUGUAGCGGUGAAAUGCGCAGAUAUCAGGAAGAACACCCGUGGCUAAGGCGGCUCUCUAGUACGGUACUGACGCUGAGACGCGAAAGCGCGGGGAGCGAACAGGAUUAGAUACCCUGGUAGUCCACGCCGUAAACGAUGGGUGCUAGGUGUGGGAGGUGUCGACUCCUCCCGUGCCGAAGCUAACGCAUUAAGCACCCCGCCUGGGGAGUACGGCCGCAAGGCUA